UACAAUAACUUUGAAUGCACCACGAGGCUUACUAGUUUCAAGUGAAUGCACCGUGUGUUGUUUUUCCGACAACAGCAGCUGCAGACUGCUUAAAGUCCUGCUGUUGGAAACG